AAACUGAAUAUGACCCAAUCUAUCUCUGCCACUCUUUCUAAGAUGUUUGACAAUGAUCUUGAUGCCCACUUCUGUCACUGACUCUAUGACUGCAACAUAAUGUUUAGAUAACUUUUUGGUUGUACAGUAUAAUGAACCAAUAAAAAAUUUCCUGGGGCUAGUUUUGGUGUUGGUUCAACAUGAGUAGACUCGGGCUGUGACAUGAAUGACUGCGACAUCUGUGGGAGAGAUGAUGUACUUUCUCUAUCACUGCUAUUACUGGAAUCAUUUUAUGUGUCAGUAUCUGACAACCCAUACUCAAGAGGCUCAAGAUAACAUUGUUUAAAUGUUGUUUGAUCUGUAGUGUUGUGAUAUAGUGAAACUUUGUUAUGGCCAAGAAGUUUAACUCAUCUGCUGCCUUACAGGAUGAUGGCGGAAUGGUGAGCGUGCCGAGUGGGAUGUGGGACCGCUUUACUUGUAACUUCUGUCGCAAGACGUUCAACCACAAGAACAACUUCAGGAAGCACAUUCGGACACAUACUGGGGAGAAGCCGUACUCAUGCCCAUAUUGUUCUUAUUGUUCUGCUCGCUCAGAUCUCUUACGUGUCCAUUUACUAAAGAGACAUCCAUAUGCAACCUUUUAGUAAUAUAAAUGAAUACUGGACAUGAAUACUGCUGCAGUGCUGUGUGGAAUUGUUGAUUGGGUACUGCAUGAUGAUUUAAACAAAUUUCAUGAUUUGUGUAGAUGGAAGUAUAUUAUUAUUACCAAAUUUUAGUUGUGAAAUAAACUUAAUUUAUAUCUGCUAAUGAUGACUCUGUUAUAAUUUUCAUUUUUUUAAGAGACAACCGAAUUUUCUGCAAAAAAAUCAGCCAAUUUCAAUUUCAUGUAGUUGGAGCUUACCUGGGAUAGUUAUUAUGUAUCAGUUAUUACAGCUUGAAGGUAAACAGACAGGUUCUACAUAAAUAUAUGUAUAAACCUGAA